rnacentral:rRNA from 1 species
AGAGAGAGACAUGCGCGCAUAUCAAUAAGCGGAGGAAAAGAAACUAACAAGGAUUCCCUUAGUAACGGCGAGUGAAGCGGGAAGAGCUCAAAUUUGAAAUCUUCAAGGUUUUACCUUGACGAAUUGUAGUUUAAAGAAGUGUUUUCUGUUGAAGUUUUGGUAAAAGUUCUUUGGAAUAGGACAUCAUAGAGGGUGAGAAUCCCGUAUUUGACCAUUACUUUUCAGCUGUGUGAUACACUUUCAAAGAGUCGGAUUGUUUGGGUAAUGCAGUCCAAAAUGGGUGGUAAAUUUCAUCUAAAGCUAAAUAUUGGCGAGAGACCGAUAGCGAACAAGUACCGUGAGGGAAAGAUGAAAGGAACUUUGAAAAGAGAGUUAAACAGUACGUGAAAUUGUCAAAAGGGAAGCGUUUGACACCAGUGUUGUUUUCUCGAAAAUCAAUUAAAAAAGGCUGGAUUUUGUGUUGUAUUGACCUUUAUCAAGCUUUCUUCACUCUUUUCUUGUCUUUUUUAAUGCACUUUUCGUUUAACAAGUCAACAUCAGUUUCUUUUGUUGUAAAAGGGUCAUUGGAAGGUGGCUUUCUUUUCGGAGAAAGUGUUUAUAGCCUUUGAUCUCUGCAACCGGAGAGACUGAGGUCUGCAGCGUAGACUCUUCGGGGUUAGAUACAUUUGUGCUAAGUUAUAGCUUUUCAUAGACAACUUGUUGACUAUAUCUAGUCAUGUAGCUUACUCGCUUAUGUCUAUUUUACCUACGCUUAGGAUGUUGACAGCAGUAUAGACUGU